rnacentral:siRNA from 1 species
ACAACAUGUUUAUUUUGGCUUGGU